UAGUUGAAGUUGAUAACAAUGUCACUCGUCAUUUGGAAGCUGAGCUUGCUGCUAAUGACUGGAGUCUUUUGAUUCUUCAAUAUCUUGGAUUAGAUCAUGUUGGACACAUUGGUGGGAGCCAGAGGGCCUGAGUAAUAGAUGCAACAUGGAAGUUGUGGAUCCUAAAGGCCUACGUCUGAUUCCAUGUUUAAG